CUUUUUCAAAAUGUGGCGGUGGCAGGGAAGGUUGUCUGCUCCAGAGGCUUCCCUAGAGUGAAGAGCUCUACUAUGUAUGCUUUAUGCGGCAGAAGGAGUGCUUUGGAGGAGUUUUUAAAUUUGUUUUUUUUUUAAAUCUUAUCGGUUUUAAUUGUAGCAAUGAUUCAAGAAACGUUAGUAGGUGCCCAUAACUUCGGUGGUGGAGAUCCAAAAGUGAACAAGACAGUGUUCUGGCUGCUAAAUUCUUCUUAACUGGUUAUGCCUGGAGACCUUCACUUGGUUCUGUGCCAGCACUGCCCAUGAACUUCAUAGACUGUGAUCUUUGCUAAGGCCUAAAUGAAUGAAGUGCAGGUGCAGGACCGGAAGCAGAAGACAGAAAGUGGAGACCAGAUGUUUGAAGCUGGGUAAAGGCAGGGAUGGAGCAGGAACCGAGGAACAAACCUUGGAACUAGCUGGGACCAUUUAGUUGCAGAAAAACAAGCUCAGGGCGCUCACUGAUUCUACAUUAUGGCAACAUGGAGUUAAUUCACAUACAUGGAAUAGAAGCUGGACAGGGGGUUAGAAGUUAGUCCAUAUAUUAAAAUGGAUGGAGGAAGAUUACUAUCGAAAUUGCAAAAAGAAGAAUUUGUUCCUUUCCCUUGGAGCGGACCUAAGGAACUUAAUUUAUGUUGAUUUUUUUUUCCUUAAGAAUUGGAAACAAGGAAAAUAAAGCCAGAAAACAAGCACAUUUGAGAGUAAAUAAAGUCAUUUCUUCCAUA
rnacentral:lncRNA from 1 species